rnacentral:rRNA from 1 species
CCUACGUGAGUCAGCAGUGAGGAAUAUUGGUCAAUGGACGAGAGUCUGAACCAGCCAAGUCGCGUGAAGGAUGAAUGCCCUAUGGAUUGUAAACUUCUUUUGUAUGGGAAUAAAAUGUUCCACGUGUGGGAUUUUGUAUGUACCAUAUGAAUAAGGAUCGGCUAACUCCGUGCCAGCAGCCGCGGUAAUACGGAGGAUCCGAGCGUUAUCCGGAUUUAUUGGGUUUAAAGGGAGCGUAGGUGGAUUGUUAAGUCAGUGGUGAAAGUUUGCGGCUCAACCGUAAAAUUGCAGUUGAAACUGGCAGGCUGGAGUACAGGAGAGGUGGGCGGAAUUCGCGGUGUAGCGGUGAAAUGCUUAGAUAUCACGAAGAACCCCGAUUGCGAAGGCAGUUCACUGGACUGCAACUGACACUGAGGCUCGAAAGUGUGGGUAUCAAACAGGAUUAGAUACCCGGGUAGUC